rnacentral:rRNA from 1 species
CACCCUACGGGAGGCAGCAGUGAGGAAUAUUGGUCAAUGGGCGCGAGCCUGAACCAGCCAAGUCGCGUGAGGGAUGACGGCCCUACGGGUUGUAAACCUCUUUUGUCGGGGAACAAAUUCCGCCACGUGUGGCGGAGUCGAGAGUACCCGAAGAAAAAGCAUCGGCUAACUCCGUGCCAGCAGCCGCGGUAAUACGGAGGAUGCGAGCGUUAUCCGGAUUUAUUGGGUUUAAAGGGUGCGUAGGCGGACUGUCAAGUCAGCGGUAAAAUACGGGGGCUCAACCUCAGCCCGCCGUUGAACCUGCC